UACGUAGGGGGCUAGCGUUGUCCGGAAUCAUUGGGCGUAAAGAGCGCGUAGGCGGUCCGGUAAGUCGGUUGUGAAAACUGGGGGCUCAACCCUCAGAGGCCGACCGAUACUGUCGGGCUAGAGUCCGGAAGAGGCGAGUGGAAUUCCUGGUGUAGCGGUGGAAUGCGCAGAUAUCAGGAGGAACACCAAUAGCGAAGGCAGCUCGCUGGGACGGUACUGACGCUAAGGCGCGAAAGCGUGGGGAGCGAACAGG
rnacentral:rRNA from 1 species